rnacentral:lncRNA from 1 species
AUGCCUAAAGCAUCAAAGGGAAAAAGUGCAGGACCGGAAAAAAAAAAGUAACCCAUCCAUUUAGUAGAAAAGCAGCUCAAAUUACGAGAGAGGCCCACAAACAAGAAAAACAGAAAAUUGAAGAAUGAAAAAGCCUUGUGUGAGGCUUUUUUCAACCUUAUUUGUGAAAACCUGCAGUGGUUUCAAAAUCAUCUUGAUCCCCCAAAAAAGGGAUAUUUAAAGAAAGAUGCUUGUGAACUAAUUGAAAGAUAUUAAAAUCGAUUCAGCAGUGAGCUGGAGCAGACUGAGUUACGUAACAGUAUCAGGGACAGGCAGGGGAGGUGGCACUGUUCCCGGGAGACUGUCAAUAAGCAGACGAUGGAGCGGGAGUGAGAGCAGUAUGAAGGAUAUGGUCUUGAGAUUCCAGACAUUCUAAAUGCAAGUAACCUGUAAACGUUUAGGGAAUGUGACUUUAAUCUGAAGAAAUUGCCAAACACUAACAUAAGAAAAACUUGUGCUAAUGAUGCAAUUCCCAAGAAGUGCAAGAGGAAAACUAUUAUAACUGUAGACCAAGAUUUAGGGGAAUUGGAACUUAACAAUGAAUCAAGUGACUCCGAUGAGGAAAUGACUGCAGUGGCA